UGUGUCAAGCAAAAAUUUGUCUCAGAGUUUAAAAUCACUUUCAUCUCUCAAAGUCCAUGAUGCUAUAACUUUAUAAUAACCUGUAUGCAUAUAUAGGAACCAGCUGAGGUUUAAAAGCUAUGAUCAACUGAUGAGUGCCAUCAUGGCUGGACGCCUUGGCAGCCAGAGUUGCCCGUAGGGCAGAGAUGAAGCUUUGGCAUAUGCCUUUGAAUGGUUGCUCCUUUGGGACAUGGCGCAUGACUUUGUGGCUUGCAGUGGGAUGAAGAGUGCACCCUCCAAGGAACAAAGGAAUCUUGAGGGUCUGGAUGCUCAAUGCAAAUUGUAAACCCAGGAGAGACCACUGUGUUCCCAUGAAAGAGGCUGAUGAAAACCAGAUGCUAGGCCCACAGUUGCACAGUUCCUGAGGAUUGCCCAGCUCCUGCUCAGCUCACCGUUUGGCUCCAAGAAGGAGCUGAGGACAAGAUGGGUUAGGUGACUUGUCCAAGAUUAUACAGCCAGUGAGUGGCAAAGACAAAUCAACAGAUCCCCAGGCAUCUGACUCAGAGUCCAGUCUACUUGAAUAACAUCAUCUUUCCACGGCUCCACAGGGGAAAAAAAAAAGUCCUGGCUUACAGGGUUUACUGAUCUCUGUGAUGUAAAUACUCCUAUCAACACUGAUUUCAAUUAACAAUGUGAGGCCACUGAAUGUGGGGAUGGGAAGUGAUACACUCCAAAGGCUCUUCUGAACUGGUUGUCAAGAUAACGCUAAAAAGGUUCCUAAGCUGUAUUCCUGAUUCUUAUGAUAUAAGAGGCUUCAUGACACAGCUGAAAAGUUGGAGCCCAAAGCUCCUGUCAGUUCUGCCCUGCCAUCCUAGCUAGCCCUG